CGGGGCGUAGCGCAGACCGGUAGCGCACAGCGUUAGGGACGCUGGGGUCGGAGGUUCAAAUCCUCUCGCCCCGACCA
rnacentral:tRNA from 1 species